rnacentral:rRNA from 1 species
GACGAACCGUGCAAACGUUGUUCGGAAUCACUGGGCUUAAAGGGCGCGUAGGCGGGUCUCCCAGUCUGUGGUGAAAGCCUCCAGCUUAACUGGAGAAGUGCCGUGGAUACUGGAGACCUCGAGGAGGGUAGGGGCAUCUGGAACGGUCGGUGGAGCGGUGAAAUGCGUUGAUAUCGACCGGAACUCCGGUGGCGAAGGCGAGGUGCUGGACCCUUUCUGACGCUGAGGCGCGAAAGCCAAGGGAGCAAACGGG